GAGGGUAUAGCUCAGUGGUAGAGCCCAUGCUUAGCAUGCACAAGGACCUGGGUUCAAUCCCCAGUACCUCCA
rnacentral:tRNA from 1 species